CGGUGGCUAUAGCGCAGGAGUUACACCUGUUCCCAUCCCGAACACAGAAGUUAAGCCCUGCCGCGCCGAUGAUACUGCACGGGUGACUGUGUGGGAAAGUAGGUCGCCGCC
rnacentral:rRNA from 1 species